CUGCUGCAAGGACAAGGAAGAGUCAGUGCUUGGAGGAGCUGCCUAUGAGACACAUCAAGGAGAUGGAGAUGCAAAGCUCAUACAAAGGCUUCCCUCUGAGAGAAGAGGAGAGACAUGGUCUGUUGACUGACCUUGACUGGGCAAAGAUGUUUUUCCCCUUCAACCCUUUCUGCCUGAAGCCCCCCUUUUAUAGGAUAAUUUUUGGUCCCUCCCAGUAGGAUAGGACAAUCACGUGUUAUUUGGUCAUCCGUGCACUACACAUCCCAUGUUCUCUUUCACUUGCAUCUCAAGAGCCUCAUCAAUUCUUCACCACCUUAAAGCAACACUGCUGUUCUGACCAUUUGCCACACAGAAGGACAGCACAAGUGCCCUGCUCUCAUGGGGCAGAGAAACUUGCACUAUUGCAUAAUUGGGGUUUCAUCAAAUUUGACCCAAGAACAAAAAAGAGGCAAUGAAGGGUCUGGGAGCUGAGAAAGAAGAGGAAGGGUAAGUGCAUUGUCAGAAGCAGUUUGCUGUGAGUAGGAUGGAGCACCUCAGUGAACAAGCAUCUGAAUCUGCAAUCUUGAUAUGGCAGA